CCGUCGAAUGAAUGCUAGGUGUGGGGGUAUUCAUCCCCUUUGCUGCCCAUAUCUAACAUUUAGCUGUCCCCCCGGGGAAUACCGGCCCCAGAGUGAAACUCCAAGGAAUUUACGGGGGCCCCCCCAAACCGGGGAAUAUGGGGUUUAAUUUCAAUCCACCCCAAAAACCUUUCCCGGUCUUGACCUCCUUCCAAACCGCCUAAAAAAUGGGGUUUCCUUUCGGAGCUAGUUCACAGGUGGUGCAUGGUUGUCGUCAGCUCGUGUCGUGAGAUGUUGGGUUAAGUCCCGCAACGAGCGCAACCCUCGUUCUUAGUUGCCAGCACGUAAAGGUGGGGACUCAUGGGAGACUGCCGGGGACAACUCGGAAGAAGGUGGGGAUGACGUCAAAUCAUCAUGCCCCUUAUGUCUUGGGCUUCACGCGUGCUACAAUGGCCGGUACAAUGGGUUGCGAUACUGUGAGGUGGAGCUAAUCCUAAAAAACCCGUCUCAAUUCCGAAUGGGGUCCGCCACUCCACCCCCUGAAAUCCGAAUCUGUUAUUAUCGCAGAAUCACAACGCUGCGGUGAAUACGUUCCCGGGUCUUGUACACACCGCCCGUCACAUCACGAAAGUUGAUAACACCCGAAGCCGAUGGGCUAACCCCCUUGUGUGGAGGCAGUCGUCGGUGGUGUGACUGGUGAGAGGGACUAAA
rnacentral:rRNA from 1 species